rnacentral:tRNA from 1 species
GGAGAGAUGCCGGAGCGGUCGAACGGGGCGGUCUCGAAAACCGCUGUCUGCCUAUCGGUGGACCGGGGGUUCGAAUCCCCCUCUCUCCGC